GGCGGUGUGCGCUAUGCUGAUGGGCGGCGCGAGCGCAGCGCCCAAGGGAACCGGCAGCGCGCUUAGAAAGGGAGCUAAGGCUAUUAAAGCUGGAUUCGGAGCUAUUAGUGCGAUCGGCACUGGCCAUGAAAUCUACCAGCACGUGAAGAACAGGGGUUAAAUUAAAGCAUUGUAAAUAAAUUCCAUUUUUAACUAAUGUAAAACCAUACCAUAUCUACCUACCAUUGUUAAAAAAUAAGCAUCUCCUGUGAUAAAACAGUCAUACCUAAGUUUUAGCUCCUAAUAAAAAUAUAAACAUCAAACAA